rnacentral:rRNA from 1 species
CCUACGGGAGGCAGCAGUGAGGAAUAUUGGUCAAUGGGCGCGAGCCUGAACCAGCCAAGUCGCGUGAGGGAUGAAGGAUCUAUGGUUCGUAAACCUCUUUUAUUAGGGAAUAAAGUGCGGGACGCGUCCCGCUUCGCAUGUACCUUAUGAAUAAGGAUCGGCAAACUCGGUGCCAGCAGCCGCGGUAAUACGGGGGAUCCGAGUGUUAUGCGGAUUUAUUGGGGUUAAAGGGUGCGUAGGCGUCGUUUUAAGUCCGAGGUAAAAUCGGGGGGCUAACCCACGAACUGCCGUUGAAACUGGGUCGCUUGAGUGUGUGAAGGGCAGGCGGAAUGCGUGGUGUAGCGGUGAAAUGCAUAGAUAUCACGCAGAACCCCGAUUGCGAAGGCAGCCUACCGGGGCGUAACUGACGCUGAUGCACGAAAGCGUGGGGAUCGAACAGGAUUAGAUACCCUAGUAGUC